AUGCUUCUACCCAGGUUGAAUGGUCACCCGCCACUGUCCAUCGCUCAACCAUCUCCUUUUUCACAGGAGAGGGUAGCUCAGAGAGACAGCACCAUGCCCAGAGUUCUCAGAACACACUGGCCUCCUGUAUUCUCCUGCCUCUUCUCUCCUUCCUGCCCGAAUCUAGAUUCCAGAAAGGGAAAUGGUUUAGAAGGUUACUGGAUAGAUGUUGGAUCUGGAACUGGAUGGUGUGAAAGCUGGAAAUUGUCCCUGCAAGCCCUGAAAAUUACUCUUAUCUUGACAUCCUUAGACACAAAAAGGGAUGAGAGUGACCAGAUAACUUUAGACUUAAUAAACCUUGUUUCCAUUUCUUCCUACUCUUUCUUCCAUUUUAGUGAGCAUCUACCACAUCCUUGGCACAUCCUUGGUAAGCUUUAGGGAUACAACAAAACACAAAUUCUGAUCUAAAAGUAACAAACCCUUGAGUGUACUUUUUUCAAGAGAUAAGAAACCCAGAGGCAGCUAGCUGCACCGUUGGUUUAGCAGUUCAGCAAUGUCUGUCUUUUCUGCCAUCCCCAGGUGUCAUCUACCAUUCAGAGAUACAAGACGAUUGCAGUAGCUCUGAGUGUCAGUCCUCACAGGAGGAAAUCCAAAAGCAGGAACAGACUUAAGUGCUCUUCACUGGGCACUCUUUUUAUCAGUUAAGGAACUGUUUUUCCACAUUUUUAUUUCUCCUUGACUCCCUCAAGCUAGUUGCCAGGAGGCUGAGUAUGAGUAACUGUCUCAAUAGAAGCUGAACAUAGAUACUAAAAAACUGAAUGCCCAAAGGGCAGGCAACCAACAGUGUUUGCCACAAAGGGAUAUUCAUGUGUGAUAGCAAAGGCCAUGGGAAUAGAAGGAGAAAAACAGACAGGAUUAGAGAAUGGGACAGUGGCAGUAUGGUCAAUAUACCCAGGAUGGAGGAGUUAAAUCAAGGACUAUGAUCAUAUCCAGGUCUCCAAAUUCUCAAUGAAUUUGUGUACAUCUGGGAAUCUGGGAGAUGUCAUGAGAUAAUAGUGACCAUUACAGGUAUAAUAGGCACCUAAGGAAGGUUAUCAGAGUGGCUGAAGACCCAUGACCUGUCAGUGGACAGAGAAGAGCCAUAAUGCUGUUACUGAGUUCCAUCCCAAAUUUUGAGAUCUAGGAAAAUGGGCUGAUUCUUUUCAAGUGAGAGAUCGAGAAGUUAGUAUCUCUCAUUUCAGUUAGAGGAAGAAAAUUUAGAGGUAAUGAAUUUUACUGUGAAAUAUGUAGGAACAUUUAUUUGCAGAGAAAAAUGGGAGCUGUGGUUCACAAUGGAAGUGGUGGAGAGAACAAUAUUUUUUUUAAAAGACAUGGCUUGGAGGUAGGGAGAGAUGGAGGCAGGCAGGAAUCUGAGAUGAACAAAUGGGCAAAAAUCAACUUCCUAUAAGAUUUCUACUCCAUACAUUGGCAAGAUGACAGGAAUUCAAGAGAAUGGGAAAUCAGAGAUAAAGAGGA
rnacentral:lncRNA from 1 species